rnacentral:rRNA from 1 species
GACGAACCGUGCAAACGUUGUUCGGAAUCACUGGGCUUAAAGGGCGCGUAGGCGGGUUCCCAAGUCGGUGGUGAAAUCUUUCGGCCCAACCGGAAAAGUGCCGCCGAUACUGGGUGGCUCGAGGCAGGCAGGGGAGAUCGGAAUUCCUGGUGUAGCGGUGAAAUGCGCAGAUAUCAGGAGGAACACCGGUGGCGAAGGCGGAUCUCUGGGCCUGUCCUGACGCUCAGGCGCGAAAGCUAGGGGAGCAAACAGG